rnacentral:rRNA from 1 species
GAUGAACGCUGGCGGCGUGCUUAACACAUGCAAGUCGAACGGUGAACGAGGGAGCUUGCUCCCUCCGGAUCAGUGGCGAACGGGUGAGUAACACGUGAGCAAUCUGCCCUGGACUCUGGGAUAAGCGUUGGAAACGACGUCUAAUACCGGAUACGAGGCGUGGGGGCAUCCCCAACGCCUGGAAAGAACUUCGGUCCAGGAUGAGCUCGCGGCCUAUCAGCUAGUUGGUGAGGUAACGGCUCACCAAGGCGACGACGGGUAGCCGGCCUGAGAGGGUGACCGGCCACACUGGGACUGAGACACGGCCCAGACUCCUACGGGAGGCAGCAGUGGGGAAUAUUGCACAAUGGGCGCAAGCCUGAUGCAGCAACGCCGCGUGAGGGACGACGGCCUUCGGGUUGUAAACCUCUUUUAGCAGGGAAGAAGCGAAAGUGACGGUACCUGCAGAAAAAGCACCGGCUAACUACGUGCCAGCAGCCGCCGUAA